rnacentral:tRNA from 1 species
CGGGGUAUAGCGCAGCCUGGUAGCGCGCGCCCUUGGGGUGGGCGAGGUCGCAGGUUCAAAUCCUGUUACUCCGA